rnacentral:lncRNA from 1 species
GUUCAUUGGAAAUUUCUGCUUCUUUGAGACUGAGGUUAUAUUCCACUUCUUCUGACUACACCACCACCAUCAAUCUCCUUCUCUGAACUCUUGGAUCAUUACUUCAACCUGAAACAACUCAUCAGGCAGAAUAGUUGCCUACUGCCCCAACCCCACCAAAUGUUCCAGCACCUCUGAUAUUACCUCACAUGGCAAGAGGGCUUUGAAGAUGUGAUUGAGUCAAGGAUCUUGAAUGGGGAGAUUAUCCUGAAUUAUUCAGCUGGACCCAGUGUAAUCACAAAGGUUUUUCAAAGAUGGAAGAGAGGCAGAAGAGCCAGAAAAGGAUAUGUGACAAUGGAGUCAGUGUCAGAGUUGGAGUGACGUGAUGUGAGAAGGAUUCAACCUGCUGUUUCUGGCUUUGAGGAUGAAAGAAGGGGCCAUGAGCCAAGCAAUACAGGUGGCUUCUUUCAAGAAGUUGGAAAAGUGGUAAUAUUUUAUGUUAUUUUGGUUUGAUUUUUGUUUGUGGCAUAUGGCUCUGCUGUCCUGUGACUCUAAGUAGAAGAGAAAAUAGUGCCAAUAAUUCUUCAUGGAGAUGCACCUCUCUCAAGUCUUGAACAAUGUUUGAGGUAGGUGGUGGCCUAAAUGAAUGAGCAUGUCAUGUGUGAUUACUUAGUGAGUGUAGUUUUGUAAGGCGCACCAAGGAACUGGUAAUUAACUGCUAGGCAUGAGAUUACCCCAAGAUUCUACAAACCCACCUAAGCGUUGUUAUAUUUGUGAAAAGAUUAGAGGAGCUGAACUGUGUAUCUUCUUGGUCUCCAGUGGGCAGAUACAAGGGGAUUGCAGCAAAGAUUGGGGAAGUGGCCUCCAAGUAUGCAUGUGGAUGUCCUCUGCUCCUCUGAAACAUGACGGAUGGCCAUUGUCUUUGUUAGAACAAAUAAAAAGCAGAAGUAUAUUUGCCUUUUAGAGAGAGCUCGGUGUUCCUUUUUGCCAAACACAGUACUCUCUCACACCUGCCUUCUGGGGCAGGGAUAUUUUAUUGGACCACAGAUAUUCUGAGGGGAAAGGAGUUAAAAGUCAGAGCUUGACAAAUGCCAGCUCCGGUGCUAAUCAGCAUUUGUCAAAUGCUCUGAUUCUAGGCUUUGAAAAGUCUUGAGUUAUUAAUGAAGUACCCACUAUUCACUGAACACUGUGUAAAGUCCCCAAAAUGGAAAGAAUAAUACUUGCUCGUGUCCUUUUGAAGUUCAUGUUUAUAUUGUCUGUUUCCAGGAAAAGUGCUUUCAGCUGGGCUGAUGAGAACACCUUGGCACUCUUUCCUGCAAUGGGCACUGAUUGAGGGUCUUCCUGGUGUGGCAUCAUCAAAUCCCUGUUGCUCAAACCCACUAAUUAGCUCAUUCUUAUCUACAAGUAGCAGGGGCCCUAAAGCUCUCUGAGAAGAUCUCAUACUGUGUCUCCUACAUUUCAUCUUCUAUAAUCUCUUAUUCUUAGAGACAGAAAGAUGGUUAAAAGACAUCACUUCAUUUCUUUCUCUGGAUUUGGAAAGAGUUAUAUAUUGGGAUUAUGCUGUUAGUUUACACUUGCAUUGUUUAAAUUAGAGGAAAGGUUAUUUUGUGCAGAACAAAUAAAAAUUACUCUUUAACUACCUUUCAGAAUAUCCCAACUUUUAACAUAAGCUGUUUUGUAAAGGCUGGUUGUAGUGACUUGCUUCAUAAUAGACUAUUAAAAUAAGAUGCAUUGAAAUCUUGUUCUUUUCUUUGCAAUACCAUGUAUCAGCUUUGUUUUGAGAGGCAAACUCAAUUUUCCCCUGAAAUUAGGAAAUUACUGUAAGGGACUGGAAUGACACACAAGAAAAGAUUACAUCAUAGCAGGGAGACUAGCCAGUUAGAAUGGGGAUUUCUUUACAAACACUAGACUGGACUAUGGAUUAUAAUUUACCUAGUGUUAAUAGUUGCAGUCAUACAUUAAGGACAAUAUGUAUGUUCUUUAGUUUUUUGUCACUGAGCAGAGGUAGAAACAGGGAAACAACAAAGGCCGAAUAAUUUCCAGCCAUUGCUGCUUUGUUUGCACGGAGCCCUUUGAAAUGUGAACUAAGAAUAUUUCUCAGAAGGUUUUUAGGUGAUUCAUAUACACAGUAAAGUUUCAGAAGUGCUAUAUUCGAGGGCAUAUGGAAACCCAUGGCUUUUCUGCUAGAGGAUUGUCAAAAGUCCAGAAUUUCAUAACUAAAUACCAUGAAUUUAGUAUAGUAGAGCACAGAACUAAAGGCUGUCUUGUGGCUGCAAAGAGUUGACUUCACAUAGCAUAAACUAUAGUCUAAGACAGUGACUUAGACAUAAGAGAGAAUAGAACUUGGUAACUGGGAUUGUUUUACAGCGU